rnacentral:rRNA from 1 species
AACGUACGCUGGCGGCACGCCUAACACAUGCAAGUCGAACGCAGUAGCAAUACUGAGUGGCAGACGGGUGAGUAACAUGUGGGAAUCUGCCUUGUGGUUCAGGACAACAUUGGGAAACCGAUGCUAAUACUGGAUAAGCCCUUACGGGGAAAGUUUUAAUGCCAUAAGAUGAGCCUGCAUUUGAUUAGUUAGUAGGUGAGGUAAUGGCUCACCAAGACAAUGAUCAAUAGCUGAUCUGAGAGGAUGAUCAGCCACACUGGGACUGAGACACGGCCCAGACUCCUACGGGAGGCAGCAGUGGGGAAUCUUGCACAAUGGAGGAAACUCUGAUGCAGCGAUGCCGCGUGAGUGAAGAAGGCCUUUGGGUUGUAAAGCUCUUUUGUAGGGGAAGAUAAUGACUGUACCCUAAGAAUAAGGUCCGGCUAACUUCGUACCAGCAGCCGCCGUAA